rnacentral:rRNA from 1 species
CUGUCUCAUUCGGAUUGGAGUCUGCAACUCGACUCCAUGAAGCUGGAUUCGCUAGUAAUCGCGCAUCAGCCAUGGCGCGGUGAAUACGUUCCCGGGCCUUGUACACACCGCCCGUCAAGCCAUGGGAGCCGGGGGUGCCUGAAGUACGUGACCGCGAGGAGCGUCCUAGGGCAAAACUGGUGACUGGGGCUAAGUCGUAACAAGGUAUC